rnacentral:rRNA from 1 species
GAUGAACGCUGGCGGCGUGCCUAAUACAUGCAAGUCGAGCGAACAGACGAGGAGCUUGCUCCUCUGACGUUAGCGGCGGACGGGUGAGGAACACGUGGAUAACCUACCUAUAAGACUGGGAUAACUUCGGGAAACCGGAGCUAAUACCGGAUAAUAUAUUGAACCGCAUGGUUCAAUAGUGAAAGACGGUUUUGCUGUCACUUAUAGAUGGAUCCGCGCCGCAUUAGCUAGUUGGUAAGGUAACGGCUUACCAAGGCAACGAUGCGUAGCCGACCUGAGAGGGUGAUCGGCCACACUGGAACUGAGACACGGUCCAGACUCCUACGGGAGGCAGCAGUGGGGAAUCUUCCGCAAUGGGCGAAAGCCUGACGGAGCAACGCCGCGUGAGUGAUGAAGGUCUUCGGAUCGUAAAACUCUGUUAUUAGGGAAGAACAAAUGUGUAAGUAACUCUGCACGUCUUGACGGUACCUAAUCAGAAAGCCACGGCUAACUACGUG